ensembl:lncRNA
CCACCACCUUGCACCGAGUUCCUUCACCGCAGCGGGUGUUCUUGCAGGAUGGCAAUGGGAUGCAUUGGGGAGAUCCAUGCACCAUCCUGCACUGUGUUCCUGCUUCACAACGGGUGUUCUUGCAGGAUGGCAACGGGAUGCACUGGGGUGACCCAUGCACCAUCUUGCAUUCUGUUCCUGCUUCACAACGGGUGUUCUUGCAUGAUGGUAAUGGGAUGCACUGGGGUGACCCAUGCACCAUCUUGCAUUCUGUUCCUGCUUCACAACGGGUGUUCUUGCAUGAUGGCAAUGGGAUGCAUUGGGGAGAUCCAUGCACCAUCUUGCAUUCUGUGCCUGCUUCACAACGGGUGUUCUUGCAUGAAGGUAAUGGGAUGCACUGGGGAGAUCCAUGCACCAUCUUGCACUGUGUUCCUGCUUCACAACGGGUGUUCUUGCAUGAAGGCAGUGGGAUGCACUGGGGAGAUCCGUGCACCAUCCUGCACUGUGUUCCUGCUUCACAACGGGUGUUCUUGCAUGAAGGCAGUGGGAUGCACUGGGGAGAUCCGUGCACCAUCUUGCAUUCUGUGCCUGCUUCACAACGCGUGUUCUUGCACGAAGGCAAUGGGAUGCAUUGGGGAGAUCCGUGCACCAUCUUGCAUUCUGUGCCUGCUUCACAACGGGUGUUCUUGCAUGAUGGCAAUGGGAUGCACUGUGGUGAUCCAUGCACCAUCUUGCAUUCUGUGCCUGCUUCACAACGGGUGUUCUUGCACGAAGGCAAUGGGAUGCAUUGGGGUGACCCACGGACCAUCCUGCACUCUGUUCCCUCAUCGCAACGGGUGUUCUUGCACGUAGGCAGUGGGAUGCACUGGGGUGACCCAUCCACCAUCUUACAUUCCGUUCCAGC